UUGCCUGGCAACAGCCAGCAAUGCCUGACACUAUAUAAGGGGCUGCUUGGCCCCUUCUUGCUCUCUUGCUCUUCCUCUCUCCUCUUCUCUGCUCUCUUGCCCUCUCCCCUUUGUCCCCUCUCUCCCCAUUCCCCACUCCUUUCCUCCACGUGCCCAUGGCCAGCCUUUACUUCUGUCUUCUACUCUUCUCUCAUUAAACCUCUCCACAUGGAACCAUGUUGGCUUGGUGUGGUCUGGACACUGGGCCGAGAUGUCAACCCCAACAGCUCUUCCUUAAUUUCCUUCAAGGUGGGAGAUAUAUGGGACCCAACAUGUGAUUCUCCGCUGGUUGGAGGGAGCCAAGGGUAGGAAUAAAUGAAGGUCUACAGUUGGGGCUGGAGGAUAAAACUUCAACUUAGAUUCUCCCAGCAGUCACUAUGUGAUUUGUUGAAAUAAUAUCCCCUUUGGGCUUUUAUUCCUUCAGUUGAAAUGUUUAGGAGAGCCAGUUCCAGGCCAGCCAAAGUUAUACAGUGAUAUCCUACAGUAGAUGAACACUGAUGGUAUCACAUAUCUGCUGGGAACAGAAUGUCAGAGAACACAUGGACGUCAGACUUAUGCUGUUAGAUUUAAGUUUAAUGCUAUAAGUUUUUUUCUUUUCUUUUUUUCUCCAUCUUUAUUAACUUGGGUAUUUCUUAUUUACAUUUCAAUUGUUAUUCCCUUUCCCGGUUUCCGGGCCAAUAUCCCCCUAACCUCUCCUCCUCCCCUUCUAUAUGGGUGUUCCCCUCCCCAUCCUUCCCCCAUUACUGCCCUCCCCCCAACAAUCACGUUCACUGGGGGUUCAGACUUGGCAGGACCAAGGUCUUCCCCGUCCACUUGUGCUCUUACUAGGCUGUUCAUUGUUACCUAUGAGGUUGGAGCCCAGGGUCAGUCCAUGUAUAGUCUUUGGGUAGUGGCUUAGUCCCUGGAAAGUUUUUUCUUUUAAUUGCUGCAUAAAAUGUAAAUAUUGUGGUGGUUUGUAUAUGCUUAGGACAGGGAGUAGCACUAUUAGGAAGUGUGGCCUUGUUGGAGUAGGUGUGGCCUUGUUGGAGUGGGUGUGGCCUUGUUGGAGUAGGUGUGUCACUGUGGGUGUAGGCUUUAAGACCCUCUUCCUAGCUGCCUGGAAAUCAGUAUUUCAUUAGCAACCUUCAGAUGAAGAUGUAGAACUCUCAGCUCCUCCUGCACCAUGUCUGCCUGGAUGCUGUCAUGCUCCCACCUUGAUGACAAUGGACUGAACCUCUGAACCUGCACAGAAAAACACGUACCACACGUUUCAAGUGUGACUCCCUCUUCAAAUUGUUAGAUCUGUGUGUUAAUGUUGGAGCAAACAUCUGUAAAGCCAGGAACUGGAAAGGGACCAUGUUGGGGCAGAUGUUACAGAUGUAUGAGAAAAUAUUACGGGAGUUAGAUGCUCAGCAUUGACAACAGUAACUGCCAGGAAAGUGGAAUGAUUAUGACAAUAUACCAUAUCAAUAGUUUUGUGACUGUGGUCUUUCCUGUUCACAAUCUUCUAAAGAAGCUUCCUACUGUGUAUCUCCACUUUACAGGGCACUGUGCCAUGAAGUAAUUUCAACCAGGGAAUAAAUUAGAGGCCCUGGCUACAUCUUAGGAAAGUGCAGAGAAAACACUCCCUUGCUACAUUUGGCAAAUCGAAUGUACAAAUGAGCUCAAGUUCUUAGAAGAAAACUGGGUUCUUAGUGGCUGUCCCCAUCAUGCAUCCGUGAGGACAAUUGCAAAUUAAUUUAAGUGAAUUGGAGAACAUAAACACAAGAGAACAUUUUCUGAAGAUGGCUUCGUCAGGGUUUUAAAUGGAAACUGGAUGGAAGUCUAUUUAAGUGACCAGUCCAUUGAGCAGGCAUCUUAUUUGUAUGCAUGGGAAAUCCAAGAAAAUCAUCCAGGAUGCUGGCCAGGAUGCUGCAGACGGGAGAUGCUCAUCACUGCUCCUUCUCUCUCCCUCAGUGGAAGACAAAGAGAAGACCAGAAGUGCCCUGUACCUACUAACAGAAUAGCUCCUGGUUGGUCACUUGAUUUGAGUCUAGAAGGCUGACCAGGCAGCUGACUCUUCCCUCCAGCCCUACGUGGUCAUGUCUUGUACAGGAUGGGAUGGGAUCAAGGUCUUCACUAAAUCUGAUAAUAAAUGGUUCAAAAUAACAAA